UACAGAGGGUGCGAGCGUUGUCCGGAAUCACUGGGCGUAAAGGGCGCGUAGGUGGUGGCUUAAGCGUGCGGUGAAAGCUCGGGGCUCAACUCCGAGUCGGCCGUGCGAACUGGGCUCACUGGAGCAUAGUAGAGGCAGGUGGAAUUCCGGGUGUAGCGGUGGAAUGCGCAGAUAUCAGGAGGAACACCGGUGGCGAAGGCGGGUCUCUGGGCCGUUACUGACGCUGAGGAGCGAAAGCGUGGGGAGCGAACAGG
rnacentral:rRNA from 1 species